GAGAGAGGUAAGAGCCAGUGCCAAUUCCACCUGACCCAACUGCUCACGCUGUUCUCCCUGCGCGGCUGAAACGUGGUCUCAGAAAUACUUGCUGCUUUCCAGGUGUGAGGCCUGCAGGGAGCUUUCAUUUGAAGACAACAUGGCUUACUACAUUUUGCACACAGUGUAAUAUUAUUAAUAUACCUCCUCUCCAAAAGGGGGAAGGGUACAAUGAUAAUGAAUGUUGCUAAUAUCACAGUGCAUCCAAGGCAGGUUUCUAGCAAUGGUGGCAUUUCUUUAGAACCCGAGAAACAGGAUUCUUCUGCAAGUGUGAGGUGAGAACAUAAGAAAAGCCUGCUGGAUCAGGCCACUGGCCCAUCUAGUCCAGCAUCCUGUAAUCACAGUUGACAACCAGAUGCCUAUGGGAGGCCUGGAAGCAGGACCUGAGUGCAACAGUACUCUCCCCUCCUGUGAUUUCUAGCAAGUGGUAUUCAGAAAGAAGCUUCUUGCCUCUGAUAAUAGAGGCAGAGCACAGCCAUCAUAGCUAGUAGCCACUGACAGCCAUAUCUUCCGUGAAUUUGUCGAAUCCUAUUUUAAAGCCAUCCCAGUUGGAGGCCAUCACUGCCUCUUUUGGGAGUGAAUUUCAUAGUUUCUUUUGUCUAUCCUGAACCUUAUAAUAAAAUGUUCUUGCUCUCAAGGUAUUUCAGCCUCCAAGCAUGGAGUUUCAUCAGUAACAGGCCAGUUCUAACACAAUGUUUUGCCUGCACAGGAUGAUUAGUAGGGAUGUGUACCCUUGCAAAAAGCUGGUCAAAAUGCAUCAUCCAUGUCAGUUGGUGUAAAAAGGAUGACAGGCCACCUGGCAUGCCGAUAUAAUGAACUUCUUAUAGUAUCCUGGCACCACUUGUUCAGGAUUGUGCCUCUACUUCUUCCCAUGUGCUGCCAAUCUGAGUGCCACUCCCCCACCCCAUCCUCCCUCUGCUUUGGACAGUGGGAGAAAGAAAAUGUCCAUGGUGGGGAAGGUGUAUGGGCACAGAAGCGGCACAGUGCUCUGGAGCCCCAGGUGUGAGAGAGGGUGUCCUUGUAGUUCUGUGGCCAUGGUGGUGGAGAUUCAAACUCCACCUACAGGAAGUCUUUCAAAUUGCCAGGGAACUCUCAUAAAACUGGGAUGGUUGCAGUACUAUAAAUUUGACUGACUGAUCUUAUAGUCCACUCUUUACCAAAUGGUCCCAAGGUAGGCUACAAGAACAAAACAAUAUUAAAACAGGUACAAAUUUCAUUAAAAUCAUAGAGCAAAGCCGCAAAAUUAGCCAGGUAGCAAAAUAGCUGCACUGAACAAUAGUGCAGGAGAGAAAACAUCCUCUCAGCCAAAGAUGUGGGUAAAAAGUACAUCAAAAGGCGUACAGUGAUGGCACAAGACAGCACCUUGGAGGGGAAGUUAUUCCACAAGCUGGGGGCCAUUACAGAGAAGGCCCUCUCAUGCCCCUCAGAAAACAGAUGUGGCAGGAUGGUUGAGGAGAAGAGAGCUCAGGCCUUUAGCUCUGCUGCUGGGAGACAAGGAUGAGCAGGAAGAGGAGCCUCUUUGACCCUUCCACUCCAUUCUGGAAGCCAAGGAAAAGAGAAUCCAGGAGGGGCAAAGGAGAAACCAGGGCAGAGGCAGCUAUGGGUAGUAGGCAACCCCCCAUAAACCCAUUCCCUGCCAGCUGCUAAAGAACUCUCCAGACUGGAGAAAUGUCUGUGGGAGAAAGCAAAGCAUGCAUAUUUUCCAGAUGUGGAACACUGCAGGGGAGAGGGAGACUAGUAAUGGAAAUUGAAAUGCAAAUUCUUUUUCUGUGUGGAAAAGGCCCAAUAAAUCAGGAGUGACAGGAACACAAAAGACACCAUCAGGAAGCAUUUGCACAAUCAAGGGAUGCUUCAUAUAUCAGAGAGUACUCAGGCUGUGCCUCCAUGCUGCAAAUAAACCAGAUUCAUUGCAGAAGGAGCAGUCUCUGAAUUCUCCCUGUCUGAAGAGCAAAAAAAAAACAUAUUGUGUUCCAUUUCAGUCAGACUUAGCAUGUUUUCUAACAUAAACAGGAUCGUAUUUAAAGGGCCAAUUUGAAAGAAAACAAGUCAGUCUGACUUCUGGAACUCCUUUAUAGUGAAAGAGAAUUCUAGGAAUAGAAGCUGCUCUUGCGAGGCUCCCAUAUAAAAUGGAAAUGCAGGGCUUCUGAAGAAGGGCCCAGCUGAGGAAGCGAGGGGAAUAUAGAGUCAUUUGGGGGCAGGGGGGUGUAGGAGCCAAGGAUUAGAAAUGUAUUGUGACAGCUCUCUAGACUGUGUAUCUGUCUCCAUUGCUGUCCCUUGAUAUUUCAUCCAAUGCUUUUUAUGCUCAGGCAAGAAACCCUGCCUGUUAUGGGAAGCUGGGGCAAAGUGCGGAAAAGGAUGGAUUUGGAGAGCAAUUUGUCCUUUGGCCGCUGCUGAAAAGGCUGAUGAUAAUUACCUUUUUCUGGGUACUUACGCUUCACUUUUAUGGCUGGCCAGCACUGGAGGUGACUAAGGAAUUAUCCUGACUUGCUUGCUGCUCAUAGAUCCUUUUGCAAUCUCUGCCAGUUAAUAAAGAAGCACUUGCAGGGAGAGGGUUAUCCAGCAUUAGCACUAACAAUUGCCAGGCCUUUAAAGAGAAAAAGAAAGAAAGAACGAUACAGUGGCGUAAAUUCUGUAACUAUUGGUAGGCAUUGCUGCUAUUAUGAGGCAGGCAAAGUAACAGCAGGACAACUUCAGCUGUGAGGGCCUGAGGUUUAUAUAAUGGGAAUUCCAUCGCUUCCUUCAGGAGUACAUUCUCCAGAGUAUUUUGAAAACAGAAUGAAGUCAAAAAGGUAUGCUACCACAGACGUUUGGAAGCUGGGUUUGCAAAAGUGUGUAUGUUUUCGUAUGUGUGGUCUAUUCAUGGAGCAGAGAUUUGGCAAUUAGAUAUCUACAACACAUUCAGGUAAAGAGAACCAGUGUGGUGUAGUGCCUAGUUGCAACAUUGAGUUAGAUAUGUGAAAGCUAAAUUCAUAUCUGCAAUCAAGAGUGGCAUUUCCUGGGUUGCCUUGGACAUGACAUGGCAGCCCAGAUCAGUCAUCAGAGAAUCAUGUACAGUGGUACCUCUGGAUGUGAGCGGGAUCCGUUCUGGAGCCCCAUUCGCAUCCUGAAGCGAACGCAACCCACGUCUGUGCAUCUGCGCGUGUCGUGAUUCGCUGCAUCUGCGCGUGAUGUAAUUUUGAGCGUCUGCGCAUGCACGAGUGACAAAAUCCGGAAGUAACACAUUCCGUUACUUCCGGGUCGCUACGGAGCAUAAUCUGAAAACAGUCAACCUGAAGUGACUUCAACCCGAGGUAUGACUUUAUUGGACUUGCACGCUUCCUCGUCCUCCCUUCAUGCACUUCCUCCCUAACUUCCUUGUUUGCAGUAACAGUUGUUUGCUGUUAUGACCAAAUCAGGCAAACUAUGGUUACUGCAAACCAUAGUUUGCCUCCAAACCAGAAAUAGAAACUUAGGUAGUUCACAUGUGGCCUAAAGUUCUGUUUUGGAGGGAAAGUAUAGCUUAUGUGACCAUAGUUUGGUCAAUUGGGAUGUCACAGCAAGCUACAGUUAUAAGGUUC